rnacentral:rRNA from 1 species
CAGUCGCCGCGGUAAAACGGAGGGGGCUAGCGUUGUUCGGAAUUACUGGGCGUAGAGCGCACGUAGGCGGCUUGGUAAGUUAGAGGUGAAAGCCUGGAGCUCAACUCCAGAAUUGCCUUUAAGACUGCCGAGCUAGCAGGUGAGAGAGGUAAGUGGAAUUCCGAGUGUAGAGGUGAAAUUCGUAGAUAUUCGGAAGAACACCAGUGGCGAAGGCGGCUUACUGGCUCAUACUGGACGCUGAGGUGCGAAAGCGUGGGGAGCAAACAGGAUUAGAUACCUGCGUAGUCCCUGUCUCUUAUAC